GAGACUAUCUCUAAAACAGAAAAAAAAGUAAAAGACAAAAUAAUUAUAAAUAGCAUGAAUCUGGCAGUGAACCUAAGGAUAACAACUUAAAAAAGAAACGUCAAGGAUAAGUUCACGAAAUUUUAGUACUCCAGUAAGACCUUUAGAAAAGCAGUCAGGUUUGGCCAGGUGCGCACCGGUGGCUCACAUCGGUAAUCCUAGCACUUUGGGAGGCCGAGGCGGGUGGAUCAUGAGGUCAGGAGUUCAGGACCAGCCUGGCCAAGAUGGUGAAACCCCGUCUCUACUAAAAAUACAAAAACUAGCUGGGCGUGGUGCAUGCCUGUAAUCCCAGCUACUCAGGAGGCUGAGGCAGAGAAGUGCUUAAACCCAGGAGGUGGAGGUAGCAGUGAGCCAAGAUCGUGCCACUGCACUCCAGCCUGGGUGACAGAGCAAGACUCUGUCUAAAAAAAAAGAAAAGAAAAGCAGUCAGUUUUGUGCCUUAUUUUUGUACCUAUGGGGGAAUUCUCAAAACUACCCAACUAACUCUGUUUUUAUUUAAAGGUCUGCUUGCUUUCCAGAAGUAUGCCAUAAUUGACAGCACCACAAAAGCUGAAGAGUUGACAAGGUCUCGCUCUGUCAUCCAGGCUGGAGUGCAGUGGCUCAAUCAAGGCUCACUGCAACCUCGACCUCCUGGACCCAAGCAAUCCUCCCACCUCAGCCACCUGAGUAGCUGGAACUACAGGCAUGCGCUACCACACCGGGCUCAUUUUUCUAUUUUUUGUAGAGAUGGGGUCUCUCUCCCUACAUUGCCCAGGCUGGGCUCAAACUCCUGGCCUCAACUGGCCCACCCGCCUCUGCCUCCCAAAGUUUUGGGAUUAUAGGCAAUGAGCCACCACGCCCAGCCAAGGGUUUCACUCUGUGGCCCAGGCUGGAGUGCAGGGGUGCAAUCAACAAAGUAAUUCAUUUUUAAGAAAGCUCUGAUCUACAAGCCUUAGGGACUUGUCUACUUACCAAAGUGAAGCAUACCCAUAUAAUGACAACUACCUCUGCUGAUCUGCAAGAUUUUAUAAUAGGAAAUCUUCUUUACAACAAGAAGUAUGUGGCUUAUAAAUAAUAUAUAAUAAAACAUUUAUGCUAUGAUGACAAAAUUAGUCUUAUUCUUGCCAUCAAAUAUGUAUUUGACAAUGAAACUGCUAUCUGUAUUGAAUGACUAUAUAAUUUGUUUGCCAUAUGGCAAGUACAUAAGCACUGCAUACUUUGUGAAACAGUGUAUUUCCACAGAACAGCAGUGUAUUAAAACAUUCUAAAUAUUAAGAAAAAGAAAAUCAAUUUUGUAAAUUACCCAUUGUAAAGCACAGAAACAAAAACUGUUUUCAGAAUGCCAGAAUAUAAAAAGAAUCUGGUCGGUAUCCUAAAGUUGCUACCAAACAUGAAGCUGUAUAUAUUUUGAAUAUUCAAAAUCAUAACUGGUCAAAGAAUAUUAAGUGUAAUAAAGAAUUUGCAGAAUUAGAA